AUAAGAUAGACCUUUGGGUCCUUCAUCCUUCAAACCUGUGGAAGUGAGAUGUGCCUCGGCGCCUCUGGGCGUCGAACCAAUGCUUAUUAGCCUGUGUCUGAAGAAAACGAAAAUUUA
rnacentral:misc_RNA from 1 species